AAUGUAAACCAUUCUGUAGCUAACAGUAUAAAAGCCCCUAUAAUUUCACAAUUUAAAUGAAUACUUACCAAGACAAUAACUGGGAAUAAGGGUUGGAAGCCAAGCCACAUUGGAGAAAGCUGAUGUGUGCAGAGAGUUGAUCCGAGCCAGUUCCGACACUCCACCAGUGUAGGACAGAGGUCCUAUUGGGUCCACCCGCCACAGAAUCAGCUCACUGUAGAUUGCGUUUGGGUCAUGAAAUGUGCGAGUGGGCGCGUUCCUAAGAGGGCUGCUUUGACAAACCUUUUGUGUGCCUUAUGGGAUCCGCUAGUCUACCUAACUUACUGUCUGAGUCCCACUGGCAGUCCGGAAUCAAGGGCGUCAACAGGGCAUUAUGAUGGGAAGACGUCAACAACAGUGGCAAAACUGAGUGGCACGCUAGGUCAUUGAGGUGAAAGCGGUGACCGCAGUACCGGAACUUGUGGGACACAGUUAAAACAGUGGUGAAGGCAGACUUGUCAGCAAAAGUGACAGCCCAUUGGUUGAGAGAGCCAUCGAUGUGCUUAGAGACCAUCAUCACUGUGGGGUCCAGCAUCGACAAGCUCACGUGGGGGCCUCUUGAGGAGGGCUGCCACCUGCAGGGACUGCCCCCUGAGAGCAGCUCCUGCGGAGGCGAGGGCGAGCUGCGGAGGGAGUCUUUCGCGACACUCACACACGCAUACAUCAUGAUGUUUUUUACUCAGGGAGCUUGCCUCUUUUUGGGGAAAAUGCAACAGGAAUUCGAGAAGAAAAAUAUACCUGGACUUGUCUAAAUAUCCCAGGGUUAUAUUCAUCCAAAUACUUUACGUGCCACACUAGAAAGGUGCCGUCUACAGGGUGUAUGGUAAAGAGCAUGUCAGGGUUCUUAUUCCACUCUGUCAGCAGCAUCUCCAUCUUGCGGUCCAGCAGGACUGUGGGCAGGGGCACUGGGAUGCUGGGCCGGGAGCAGGCCCUUGGGCUGCCCUCACGCUCUCCAUCUUCAUGCUCUGAUGAGCCUGUGCCUCCCUCCGAUUCUCUAUCCAGUGAUAAUUCUGAAUUGGAAAAGACAUUUAUCAGAAUGUACCCUAAAUAAUACUA
rnacentral:lncRNA from 1 species